UAUGCCUCCCGGACCCAGAAGAAUGUCCUGCUUGAGGCAGACAGUCUAAUUGAGAUGCAGAACCCACCAAGAAGCCAAACUCAGGUCAAUUAAAGGUGUGGCAAUGGAGAUCUGAGACAGCCCAAGAUCGUCAAAGUCCUUCAGAGACCUUCAGGGACAUUCGAAUAUGAGUACAUCUCCCUUCUGAUUCUGCUUGUGGUGCACAAACAGCCACAGCGCAACCACCUGGGCACGGGGGAAAGCUGGGAAAGCUGGUGGCACCAUUGUUCAUAAGAAAAAGAAAGAACAUGAAAUUCUCACCAGUGACAUCAUCGUGGGACACUUGGGCGAUGGUGAUGCUGAUAUGAAUGCAGUGGUUCCAUAGCACCAGUAGGAAUACCUCUCAAAAAUAUCACAAGCAGUUUAAAAAGACAAGAAGAAGAAAGGUAACCAAAGGAAGACAACAACACUGAUGUCCAUCUUAACAUGCACCAAACAAAACUAUAGCUUGAUUAUGAACAUGCACAUGCACGUGCACGCACACACACACAUACACACUUGUGUAAUAAAGCUUUUUUUUCUUUUAGA